UACGUAGGGUGCAAGCGUUGUCCGGAAUUAUUGGGCGUAAAGAGCUCGUAGGCGGUCUGUCGCGUCUGCUGUGAAAACUCGGGGCUUAACCCCGGGCCUGCAGUGGGUACGGGCAGACUAGAGUGCGGUAGGGGAGACUGGAAUUCCUGGUGUAGCGGUGAAAUGCGCAGAUAUCAGGAGGAACACCGGUGGCGAAGGCGCACAUCUGGCCCGAUACUGACGCUGAGGCGCGAAAGCUAGGGGAGCAAACGGG
rnacentral:rRNA from 1 species